rnacentral:rRNA from 1 species
CCUACGGGAGGCAGCAGUGAGGAAUAUUGGUCAAUGGACGAGAGUCUGAACCAGCCAAGUAGCGUGAAGGAUGACUGCCCUAUGGGUUGUAAACUUCUUUUAUAUGGGAAUAAACCAGGGUAUGCAUACCCUCUUGUAUGUACCAUAUGAAUAAGGAUCGGCUAACUCCGUGCCAGCAGCCGCGGUAAUACGGAGGAUCCGAGCGUUAUCCGGAUUUAUUGGGUUUAAAGGGUGCGUAGGUGGAUGGUUAAGUCAGUUGUGAAAGUUUGCGGCUCAACCGUAAAAUUGCAGUUGAAACUGGCAGGCUUGAGUGCAGUAGAGGUGGGCGGAAUUCGUGGUGUAGCGGUGAAAUGCUUAGAUAUCACGAAGAACUCCGAUUGCGAAGGCAGCUCACUGGACUGCAACUGACACUGAUGCUCGAAAGUGUGGGUAUCAAACAGGAUUAGAUACCCGUGUAGUC